AAACGAAUUUUCAGUUUAUAGUGAUUUGUGGUCAUAUUUUGGAUUGUCAAGAUUAGUUAUGAUGCUAGCAUAAAAAUAGGUAAAUUAUUCUGAAUGUUAUUGAUUUAGGAAAAUACAAAGUUAUCUCCCCACCGUUUUUUUUGUCAAUCUGUUUUCAUUAAAUUUUAAAGCCCAAAAGCUUAGUACAUAAAGAUUGAUGACAUACAGCCCAAAAAAGUUCAAACACGUGAGCAAGGAUGAUUCUACAAACAAAACACGUGUAGUAUUGCAAAAGAAAAUUUCACACGUGACUUCUGAUGAAAGAAGAUGAAUUGCCCAAAAAAAGAAUUGUGUGUAGCCGGUAAACGUCGUUGCCCUCCGGUCAUCUUCUCUGAUUACCGUCACCAAUCUUCAAUUGCUUAGAGCUCCAGAAAACAGCCGUGAACAUCAACCCC
rnacentral:lncRNA from 1 species